rnacentral:rRNA from 1 species
GACGAACGCUGGCGGCGUGCUUAACACAUGCAAGUCGAACGGAAAGGCCCUGCCUUUGUGGGGUGCUCGAGUGGCGAACGGGUGAGUAACACGUGAGUAACCUGCCCUUGACUCUGGGAUAACUUCAGGAAACUGGGGCUAAUACCGGAUAGGAGCUCCUGCUGCAUGGGGGGGGUUGGAAAGGUUCGGCGGUUGGGGAUGGACUCGCGGCUUAUCAGCUUGUUGGUGGGGUAGUGGCUUACCAAGGCUUUGACGGGUAGCCGGCCUGAGAGGGUGACCGGCCACAUUGGGACUGAGAUACGGCCCAGACUCCUACGGGAGGCAGCAGUGGGGAAUAUUGCACAAUGGGCGGAAGCCUGAUGCAGCAACGCCGCGUGCGGGAUGACGGCCUUCGGGUUGUAAACCGCUUUCGCCUGUGACGAAGCGAGAGUGACGGUAACGGGUAAAGAAGCACCGGCUAACUACGUG